rnacentral:rRNA from 1 species
AGUGAACGCUGGCGGCGUGCCUAACACAUGCAAGUCGAACGAGAAAGCCCGCAAGGGUGAGUACAGUGGCGCACGGGUGAGUAAUACAUAGGAAUCUGCCUCUGAGUGAAGAAUACCCUAGAGAAAUUUAGGUUAAUACUGCAUAAGCCCAGAAAUGGGGAAAGGUGGCCUCAAGCUACCGCUGAGAGAUGAGCCUAUGGCCUAUUAGCUAGUUGGUAGGGUAAAAGCCUACCAAGGCGAGGAUGGGUAGCCGGCCUGAGAGGGUGUACGGCCACACUGGAACUGAGACACGGUCCAGACUCCUACGGGAGGCAGCAGUGGGGAAUCUUGCGCAAUGGGCGAAAGCCUGACGCAGCAAUGCCGCGUGAGGGAAGACGGCCUUAGGGUUGUAAACCUCUUUCAGCAGGGACGAACACAGACGGUACCUGCAGAAGAAGCCCCGGCUAACUACGCGCCAGCAGCCGCCGUAA